rnacentral:rRNA from 1 species
GAUGAACGCUGGCGGCGUGCCUAAUACAUGCAAGUCGAGCGAACAGACGCGGAUCUUGCUCCUUUGACGUUAGCGGCGGACGGGUGAGUAACACGUGGGUAACCUACCUAUAAGACUGGGAUAACUUCGGGACACCGGAGCUAAUACCGGAUAAUAUUUCGAACCGCAUGGUUCGAUAGUGAAAGAUGGCUUUGCUAUCACUUAUAGAUGGAUCUGCGCCGUAUUAGCUAGUUGGUAAGGUAACGGCUUACCAAGGCAACGAUACGUAGCCGACCUGAGAGGGUGAUCGGCCACACUGGAACGGAGACACGGUCCAGACUCCUACGGGAGGCAGCAGUAGGGAAUCUGCCGCAAUGGGCGAAAGCCUGACGGAGCAACGCCGCGUGAGUGAUGAAGGUCUUCGGAUCGUAAAACUCUGUUAUUAGGGAAGAACAAACGUGUAAGUAACUGUGCACGUCUUGACGGUACCUAAUCAGAAAGCCACGGCUAACUACGUG